rnacentral:lncRNA from 1 species
AUUCUGGUGUCUUUCAGCCUGUUUCUGCCUAUCACCAUGAGUGAUUCCUUGAUACUCAGAUUGAUAAUCAAGAUCUCAAUUAUAACCUCAAGUCUUGAUGACAGCUUGAUGAUCUCCAAGAAGCACCACCAUGUAAAGAAGGCCAAGACCACUCUGGAAUCAGUCAAGGCUCAUAGGAACUCCAAUCUUCCCAACUGUGAGAGGGCCUUGCUCCAGUGGCUGUUGGAUUGGAGUGACCAGACAUGCUACUGUAACUCUCAUGGUCAUGUGCUGGAAUUAGCAGAUAUUCAACAAUUUGGCCAUCUCGCUGACCUGUUGAUUUCAGAAGACUGCAACAGCUCUGCAAAGCAAGUUGCAAAACACAAUCCAUGGAACUGGCAGUGACCGGAAACCAAUUGGAAGACUUUGGUCUGUGAUGUAGAGGAGAGGGCAGUAGCAGACGCAAAGACAACAAAAAACAGAAGUGAUAUGGAUGUCUUCGUCAUAUGGCAUGACUCUGUCGAUCCAGCAACAAAGAGGAGGGUGUUCAACAUCAUCCUGCUAGUCAGGAUUCUUCAGGAGAAGCAGCGGAUUAUUGUGGCAGAGAUGGCCAACCACUAUAAAUAAUAAUAUAAAAAGUACUGGUAUGUAUUUGUAUUUUUUGGCACAUAAAGCAUAAGGUUACCCAGUCCAAAGGAUACUAAUAUAUUUUAAUGUUGUUGUGUUCUUCUUUUAAGAUUCGGCAUGUGGCCUAAAUGAAGAGGGGUUAAAAGGUCUGUUGAUCAUCCUUCUCAGAAAGCAGCAAAAUAACUGAGAAAUAAACAACAAUACAAUGGUGCAAUCUAGAGACCUGCAAGGUACCUGC